GGCAAUUCAAGCAUUUUUCUAGUUUCAUGACAAUUACUUGUGUGUAAGUGUAUGGAUCUUUAUGAAAUUGUACUACAAGGUUCCAUAUCACAAAGGGGAAGCUGGCAUUGAGUUUGGGGGUAAUUGCCGAAACGUUUAGGAAUUGGGGGCCAAAAAGGGGCCAUAAAUAAGCAUUUUUCUAGUUUCCAGACAAUAACUUGUGUUCAAGUGUAUGGAUCUCUCUGAAAUUGUACUGCAAGGUACCAUACCACAAAGGGAAGGCUGGGAUUGAUUUUUGGGGUAAUUCCCUCAAAAUUUUAGUAAUUAGGGGCCAUAAAA